UGGGGAAUAUUGGACAAUGGGGGCAACCCUGAUCCAGCAAUGCCGCGUGUGUGAAGAAGGUCUUCGGAUUGUAAAGCACUUUCGACGGGGACGAUGAUGACGGUACCCGUAGAAGAAGCCCCGGCUAACUUCGUGCCAGCAGCCGCGGUAAUACGAAGGGGGCUAGCGUUGCUCGGAAUGACUGGGCGUAAAGGGCGUGUAGGCGGUUUACACAGUCAGAUGUGAAAUCCCCGGGCUUAACCUGGGAGCUGCAUUUGAUACGUGUAGACUAGAGUGUGAGAGAGGGUUGUGGAAUUCCCAGUGUAGAGGUGAAAUUCGUAGAUAUUGGGAAGAACACCGGUGGCGAAGGCGGCAACCUGGCUCAUGACUGACGCUGAGGCGCGAAAAGCGUGGGGAGCAAACAGGUUAGAUACCCUGGUAGUCCACGCUGUAAACGAUGUGUGCUAGAUGUUGGGUAACUUU
rnacentral:rRNA from 1 species